rnacentral:rRNA from 1 species
GUGAGGAAUAUUGGUCAAUGGACGAGAGUCUGAACCAGCCAAGUCGCGUGAAGGAAGACGGUUCUAUGAAUUGUAAACUUCUUUUGUGCAGGAAUAAAGUGGGUUACGUGUAACCUUUUGUAUGUACUGUACGAAUAAGGAUCGGCUAACUCCGUGCCAGCAGCCGCGGUAAUACGGAGGAUCCGAGCGUUAUCCGGAUUUAUUGGGUUUAAAGGGUGCGUAGGUGGAUUGAUAAGUCAGCGGUGAAAGUUUGCAGCUUAACUGUAAAAUUGCCGUUGAAACUGUCGGUCUUGAGUGCAAAUGAGGUAGGAGGAAUGUGUUGUGUAGCGGUGAAAUGCUUAGAUAUAACACAGAACUCCGAUUGCGAAGGCAGCUUACUGGGAUGCAACUGACACUGAUGCACGAAAGCGUGGGUAUCAAACAGGAUUAGAUACCCCAGUAGUCC